rnacentral:rRNA from 1 species
AUUGAACGCUGGCGGCAGGCCUAACACAUGCAAGUCGAACGAGUGGCGGACGGGUGAGUAAUGUCUGGGAAACUGCCUGAUGGAGGGGGAUAACUACUGGAAACGGUAGCUAAUACCGCAUACCAUCGGAUGUGCCCAGAUGGGAUUGGCUAGUAGGUGGGGUAACGGCUCACCAAGGGGACGAUCCCUAGCUGGUCUGAGAGGAUGACCGGCGCCACUGGAACUAAGCCACGGUCCAGACUCCUCCGGGGGGCAGCGGGGGGGAAUAUUGCAAAAUGGGCGAAAGCCGGAUGCAGCCAUGCCGCGUGUAUGAAGAAGGCCUUCGGGUUGUAAAGUACUUUCAGCGGGGAGGCGUUACCCGCAGAAGAAGCACCGGCUAACUCCGUGCCAGCGGCCGCGUAAUAC